rnacentral:rRNA from 1 species
UGGCGGACGGGUGAGUAAUGUCUGGGAAACUGCCCGAUGGAGGGGGAUAACUACUGGAAACGGUAGCUAAUACCGCAUAACGUCGCAAGACCAAAGAGGGGGACCUUCGGGCCUCUUGCCAUCGGAUGUGCCCAGAUGGGAUUAGCUAGUAGGUGGGGGAAGGGCUCACCUAGGCGACGAUCCCUAGCUGGUCUGAGAGGAUGACCAGCCACACUGGAACUGAGACACGGUCCAG